rnacentral:rRNA from 1 species
CGCGUAGGCGGACCUUCAAGUCGGAUGUGAAAUCUUGCAGCUCAACUGCAAGCCUGCAUUCGAAACUGGCGGUCUUGAGUACAGUAGAGGAAAGCGGAAUUCCAGGUGUAGCGGUGAAAUGCGUAGAUAUCUGGAAGAACACCAGUAGCGAAGGCGGCUUUCUGGGCUGAUACUGACGCUGAAGCGCGAAGGCUUGGGUAGCAAACAGGAUUAGAUACCCUGGUAGUCC